rnacentral:rRNA from 1 species
UACGUAGGGGGCUAGCGUUGUCCGGAAUCAUUGGGCGUAAAGCGCGUGUAGGCGGUUCGGUAAGUCCGCUGUGAAAGUCGGGGGCUCAACCCUCGGAUGCCGGUGGAUACUGUCGAGCUUGAGUACGGAAGAGGCGAGUGGAAUUCCUGGUGUAGCGGUGAAAUGCGCAGAUAUCGGGAAGAACACCCGUGGCGAAGGCGGCUCUCUGGGACGGUACUGACGCUGAGACGCGAAAGCGUGGGGAGCGAACAGG